rnacentral:lncRNA from 1 species
CUCAGGCAUCCCUGAUUUACUGCAGCUCUGACAGCUUUAUGGCUCGUCCUCGAGUGCGCCCAGACGGCCGCGCGGCUCCGAAGCUGCACUGCAAUGGAAUGAAGUCCAUAUAUUAUCGAGCGCCUCCGUAUUUCAAGGCUGUUGUCAUAUCUGACCGCCUCGCCUUCCCCCCGCGUCGCUGUCAGGACGCCAAAUGGCUGCUCAAAUAUUGGAGACCUUUUGGGAUUGGGGCUCGUUAAUUUCCCCCCCCCUCCACACCUCAGGGUGGGGGGGAGGUAAAUGAGGAUGUCACCAAAUGGAAACCAUUGAGUGGAGAGAGGCAGAGGAGCAGAAAGGCCCAAGGACAGCACAGCAAACAGACACUGCAGUGGGCAGCAAAAUAAACAGUGUGGGGAGCAGAGAGGGCGCA